ensembl:snRNA U6 U6 spliceosomal RNA
AUGCUUGCUUCGGCAGUACAUUUACUAAAAUUGGAAUAAUAUAGACAAGAUUAGCAUGGCCCCUGCA